UGAGAAGAGAUUUAACUAGGAAACGGUUGGAGGCCUUCAACUUCAUGCGUGCAAACCCUGAAUGAUUUGGAUGGAUUUUUGCGCGUGAAUUUGAAGGCUCCCAUUCGUUGCUAGCAUGAAGAAUAAGAG
rnacentral:pre_miRNA from 1 species